GGAGGGAAGGACAGGGGGAUAGAUAGAGGGAGCGGGAGACGUAGAGAGGGAGAAGGGUACGAGACAGGGCAUUGGGCAGGCAGGAAGAUGAGCACCAGAAUAAAUUAAAGGAGCGAAAGAGAGAGAGGACUACUUAAUGUGUUCAACAUGACGGCAAGGAAAUGGCUUUGAAGGCGUAGGCGGUAAGAAGAACGCUACAAGAAGCAAGUCAGGAAACUGUCCAUGCAGAGACUUUAGAAAACAGAAAGAGGGAGAGAGAGAGUUAGUGAAAAAGAGAUGGCAGGAGAGAGAGCUCCAUACUGUUUUUGUUAAUUAUAAUGUAUUACCGUAUCAAUGCAGUGGCAUUUAUUUUUAUGUUCUGCUCAGUAUUCUUUUGAAUGUACCUUGUUUAUGUACUUUUGUUUGUAACUCAUAUAACCCGCAGGUGGUCAGAUGUGUUUCUAUAAUUUCAGAUGGAGCAUGGUCUUAUCAGCAGUGUUUUCACUCUUCCUUCAAACGUGUCUGUCAUGCAGUACACUUUUUUCUCUCUCUCUCUCUCUCGUCCCUCCAACUAUCCUCUCUCCUUCACUCUCUCAUUUCCUCCUCUCUCUCUGUACAUUGUCUGUGUUCAACCAUUCUCUCGCCUUUCCUCUCUUUUUCGCGCUUUUCUUUCUUUCUCUCUCCCUCUCACUCUCUCAGUACAGUCUCUCCCAAUCCUUGUACCAGUGUCUGAUUUUAAGCUGACGCUGGGCAUGGUUUGGGGGGGGCCGUGCUGAGGAUUCUGCAACAAGUUGUGCGUGUGUGUUUGGGUGUUGAGGGGUCUUUUUGUGCAUUAGACCGCUGUGCCACUCGGGAGACGCAAUAAAUUGCUUUUUGUGGUAACCUUUCGAAUUGGUUAAAUAUUCAUCUGACCUCACAAUGAUUCCAUGCCAUUGUUGUUAGAUACAAGUCAUGUAUUUAUUGAUGCAGUACACAGCCUGUACAGGUUACUAAUAAAUAGUAUGAUACAUAAUGAAAAUCUGUGGUUUGUAGAUGUUUUUUAAAUUACUUUUUCAUACUUUAUAACCUAAGAUUGAACUAAAUCCAAUAAAUAGUUUUAAAAUGUUGAUUGAUCUUUGAAUGCAAUGUGAAGAGCAGAGAAACACUCUUUUCACGCCACUUAGAUACAGCUAUGACCAGAAGUGACCUUUUCCUAGCAGAUUAGGAGAAUUUAUGCAUCAGAUUAGGAUAAUUAACAUAGCAGGUUUGGAGAAUUAGAUUAAGGUUAGGAAAAGGAGUAGGGUUAGGGUUAGCGGAAAUGUUCUCCUAACCUGCUACGAAAAUCACUUUUGGCCUUAGCUCUAUUGAAGUGCUGUGAAAAAAGUAUGUAGCUUUAGGGGUUCCCAAACUCUUUUGUGCCAUGAUCCCAUUUUGAUAUAUGAAAAUUCUCAGGGCCCCAGAGCACUGAUGGUGAUAUCAAGACAACUGGGAACUCUGAAAAAUUUGAGGUCAAAUCAUGACGCCAGUGAACCUCAGGUCAGAAAGUCGGAGCUCUAAGAAAGAGGCCAGAGUUCCUGAGUUGGAAUGACCGUUCAAAAUGAUUUUUCCCAGUCGGAGAUAGUUUUUCCCCCCGAGAUCCCAGUUGUCUUGAACACACUGAAGUCGGAUAUUUCCGAGUUCCCAGUUCUUUUGUAUGCAGCAUUAUUGCUCAGAGGGAGACGGCAGGGUAUUCCCUAUGAGAUAGGAACACAAACUCCUCCACAGUGACCCGUGAAUGUAUUCGGUCACAUGACAGCUCAAUCAGUUGAAUGACUUCACUUACCCGCAUGUCAACUGAGCCAGAAUCACAGUCAAAUGGAUUGGGACGUAGGUCCCAAAGUGCUCUUCCAAGCAUUAGAGGACCUGAGCCCUGGGACCAUGCCUCAGGACUACCUGGCCUGAUGACUUGCUGUCCCCAGUCCACUUGGUCAUGCUGCUGCUCCAGUUUCAACUGUUCUGCCUGCGUCUAUGGAACCCUGACCUGUUCACCGGACGUGCUGCCAUGUCCCGCACCUGCUGUCUCUAACUCUGAUUGAUCGGCUAUGAAAAGCCAACUGACAUUUACUCCUGAGGUGCUGACCUGUUGCACCCUCUACAUCCACUUAUUAGAGAGGUUGGCAGAGUAGAGCAGGGCCAGGGGAGGGUUCCAUAUUGUGUGCAGCACCAGUGUGAGAUUGUAGUGCCUUUCACCAUAUUGUUUUCAGUGCCUUCCCUUAGAAUAACUAUCUUGUUGCAGUGCCACAUCAGAAUAAUUCCGUGUGCAGUGGAGUAAGAUUUGUAGUGCCUUUCACCAUAUUGUUGCAGUGCCAUAUCAGAAUAAUGCAGUGUAUCACUUUUACAUGCCCGAUAUUUACCUGAGGGAGUAAGGGGGAGGGUCUAUUGUGUCGACACAGUCCUGGAAAUCGUACAGUCUGCUGUGGGAGGUGGGGUACAAUCCAUAUUAACCUAUGAAUUGAAAAUAAAACUUACCUGUCCUGGUC